AUCGGUUGAUCCUGCCGGACCUACUGCUAUCGGGGUGGGACUAAAACAUGCUAGUCGAACGCCUCCAAGCCAUGGUAGAGGCGUGGCAAACGGCUCAGUAACACGUGGCCAACCUACCCUUAGGACGGAGACAACCCCGGGAAACUGGGGCUAAUCCCCGAUAGGUGAGGACGCCUGGAAUGACCCCUCACCCAAAAGACGUUGAGACCAUGCUUUUCAGCGUUGCCUAAGGAUGGAGCCGCGGCCGAUCAGGUUGUUGGUGAGGCAAAGGCUCACCAAGCCCUUUACCGGUACGGGCCAUGAGAGUGGGAGCCCGGAGAUGGGCACUGAGACAAGGGCCCAGGCCCUACGGGGCGCAGCAGUUGCGAAACCUCCACAAUGCACGAAAGUGUGAUGGGGCUAACCCGAGUGCCGUCCGCUGAGGAUGGCUUUUCUCCGCUGUAAGGAGGCGGAGGAAUAAGGAGAGGGCAAGACUGGUGUCAGCCGCCGCGGUAAUACCAGCUCUCCGAGUGGUAGGGACGAUUAUUGGGCCUAAAGCGUUCGUAGCCGGCCUGACAAGUCUCUCGUUAAAUCCAGCGACCCAAUCGCUGGGCCGCGGGAGAUACUGUCAGGCUCGGGAGCGGAAGAGGCCGACGGUAUUCUCGGGGUAGGGGUGAAAUCCUAUAAUCCCGGGAGGACCACCAGUGGCGAAGGCUGUCGGCUAGAACGCGUCCGACGGUGAGGAACGAAAGCUGGGGGAGCGAACCGGAUUAGAUACCCGGGUAGUCCCAGCUGUAAACGAUGCGGGCUAAGUGUCGGCGUGGCUACGAGCCACUCCGGUGCUGCAGGGAAGCUCUUAAGCCCGCCGCCUGGGAAGUACGGUCGCAAGGCUGAAACUUAAAGGAAUUGGCGGGGGAGCAC
rnacentral:rRNA from 1 species